AGUGGAGGAUAUGUAAACGUCAUUGAACUUUUCGGUUAUGGAACCAAUGAACCAGCCAAUAUGUUGAAUCUCAUCUCGAAGCUACACACGGUAACUGUGCUGCAUGGAGCAUUUGGGUUGAGCAAAUUGGAUGGCAACGUUGUUCAUCAUUACCGCUAGUCUUUCGAAAAUGAUUCUUUUCCUGCCUAGUAGUCGCAGGGAGCAGCAGGCAUGCGACAUUUCCAAAGCUUCCCAUUCCCAUGUAUU
rnacentral:lncRNA from 1 species